GGUCAAGCUAAUAAGGGCUGACGGU
rnacentral:rRNA from 1 species